rnacentral:rRNA from 1 species
GGGGAAUUUUCCGCAAUGGGCGAAAGCCUGACGGAGCAAUACCGCGUGAGGGAAGAAGGCUCUUGGGUCGUAAACCUCUUUUAUCAGGGAAGAAAAAAAUGACGGUACCUGAAGAAUCAGCCUCGGCUAACUCCGUGCCAGCAGCCGCGGUAAUACGGAGGAGGCAAGCGCUAUCCGGAAUUAUUGGGCGUAAAGCGUCCGCAGGUGGCUUAUCAAGUCUGCUGUCAAAGAGUGGGGCUUAACCCCAUUAAGGCAGUGGAAACUGAGAAGCUAGAGUGCCGUAGGGGUAGAGGGAAUUCCCGGUGUAGCGGUGAAAUGCGUAGAGAUCGGGAAGAACAUCGGUGGCGAAAGCGCUCUACUGGACGGCAACUGACACUCAGGGACGAAAGCUAGGGGAGCGAAUGGGAUUAGAUACCCCAGUAGUCCUAGCCGUAAACGAUGGAUACUAGGUGUGGCUUGUAUCGACCCGAGCCGUGCCGUAGCUAACGCGUUAAGUAUCCCGCCUGGGGAGUACGCACGCAAGUGUGAAACUCAAAGGAAUUGACGGGGGCCCGCACAAGCGGUGGAGUAUGUGGUUUAAUUCGAUGCAACGCGAAGAACCUUACCAGGGCUUGACAUGUCCGGAACCUCAGGGAAACUUGGGGGUGCCUUCGGGAGCCGGAACACAGGUGGUGCAUGGCUGUCGUCAGCUCGUGUCGUGAGAUGUUGGGUUAAGUCCCGCAACGAGCGCAACCCUCGUCCUUAGUUGCCAGCAUUAAGUUGGGCACUCUAGGGAGACUGCCGGUGACAAACCGGAGGAAGGUGGGGAUGACGUCAAGUCAGCAUGCCCCUUACGCCCUGGGCUACACACGUACUACAAUGCUACGGACAAAGGGCAGCAAGACAGCGAUGUCAAGCUAAUCCCAGAAACCGUGGCUCAGUUCAGAUUGCAGGCUGCAACUCGCCUGCAUGAAGGAGGAAUCGCUAGUAAUUGCAGGUCAGCAUACUGCAGUGAAUCCGUUCCCGGGCCUUGUACACACCGCCCGUCACACCAUGGAAGUUGGCCACGCCCGAAGUCGUUACCCUAACCUGUUAAAGGAGGGGGAUGCCGAAGGCAGGGCUGAUGACUGGGGUGAAGUCGUAACAAGGUAGCCGUACCGGAAGGUGUGGCUGGAUCACCUCCU